rnacentral:rRNA from 1 species
AGCGGAGACAGGUGGUGCAUGGUUGUCGUCAGCUCGUGUCGUGAGAUGUUGGGUUAAGUCCCGCAACGAGCGCAACCCUUACUGUUAGUUGCUACGCAAGAGCACUCUAGCAGGACCGCCGUUGACAAAACGGAGGAAGGUGGGGAUGAUGUCAAAUCAUCAUGCCCCUUAUGACCUGGGCCUCACACGUACUACGAUGGCCAUUAACAGAGGGAGGCAAAGCCGCGAGGCAGAGCAAAACCCUAAAAAUGGUCCCAGUUCGGAUCGCAGGCUGCAACCCGCCUGCGUGAAGUUGGAAUUGCUAGUAAUCGCGGAUCAGCAUGCCGCGGUGAAUACGUUCCCGGGCCUUGUACACACCGCCCGUCACACCAUGGAAGUCGGUAAUGCCCGAAGUCAGUAGCCUAACCGCAAGGGGGGCGCUGCCGAAGGCAGGAUUGAUGACUGGGGUGAAGUCGUAACAAGGUAGCCGUAUCGGAAGGUGCGGUUGGAUCACCUCCUU